rnacentral:rRNA from 1 species
GUGAGGAAUAUUGCGCAAUGGAGGCAACUCUGACGCAGCCAUGCCGCGUGCAGGAAGAAGGCGCUACGCGUUGUAAACUGCUUUUAACCGGGAAGAAACCCCAGGACGUGUCCUGGGUUGACGGUACCGGAGGAAUAAGCACCGGCUAACUUCGUGCCAGCAGCCGCGGUAAUACGAAGGGUGCAAGCGUUAUCCGGAUUCAUUGGGUUUAAAGGGUGCGUAGGCGGAGCGCUAAGUCAGUGGUGAAAUCCUGCAGCUUAACUGUAGACUUGCCAUUGAUACUGGCGCUCUUGAGUGCGCUUGAAGUGGGCGGAAUGUGCCGUGUAGCGGUGAAAUGCUUAGAUAUGGCACAGAACACCAAUUGCGAAGGCAGCUCACUAAGGCGAUACUGACGCUGAGGCACGAAAGCGUGGGGAUCGAACAGGAUUAGAAACCCGUGUAGUCC